UAUGUGUGUGUGUGUGUGUGUGUGUGUGUGUAUAUAUAUAUAUAUAUAUAUAUAUAUAUAGUUACGUGUGAAUUUAGACAAAAAUCCCCUUUGCUCAAACCUGCAAAAUGUGACAAAGCAGUUGGAUUGCGUUUAAGACAAUUUAAUCACACACACAACAAUACAACACAAACACAAUAAAACAAUUAACACAAAAUAGAAGUUCAAAGACCUAGUAGUUGAGCCAAACAAAGAAUAGUCACUAAAGUUGAACGAAUGUUCCCAAACAGGCCAAUGUUCUUUCCAGCGACUAUUCCAAGUGAACGAAUGUUCCAGAAAUGUCCAAAUACAAAAGGCAGAAGGUGUCCGUGUACUUGUCCCACGCAGCGGUGCGGUGGAAAGAACCCCAUUGACGGUCUUUCUUGUCCUUAUAUUGGCACUCCUCGGAACAUUCCAGAAUUCCGCAUCACAAAAGUUCUGCAUCAAAAUAACUUAAAAGUAUGAAAGGAAACCACAUCACAAAAGAUCCACAUCAUAAUAACUUAAAGAUCGAAUCCAGAGGACCUGUAUUUUAUUUGUCUAUCAUACAAAUGUAGCUAAAAUUUCAUAAACAAAUAUUUAAAAAAUUCUCAUCACAACAGAAAUUAAAUUCAGUCUCAAGAUUUUGUUCGAAAUGAUUCGGCAAGUUCCGGAAUUCCCGGAAUGUGACGUCACAUCCACACAAAAUUUAGCCAGAGAGUGAAAAAACUAGCAAAGAUGGUGAGGAAGUGUGUUGUAUACGGCUGUUCUGCGUCAAAGGCUGACAGAGUUCACUUACAUGAACGGCCAAAAGAUGAACAGAUAAGCAGGUUAUGGACCAGGUUUGUGAAGACAAAGCGGGCACAUUGGACUUACAAAUCAAAGUCGACAGUAAUAUGUUCCAAGCAUUUCAUGGAGGACUGCUUUGAAAACCCGGUACAGCGUUCACUUGGCUUCGGUAGCAAUUCCUAUCUUUUCCACAGAGCAUUCCAUAGAAACGUCUUCAUCACUGCUGUCUACCUCCUCUUGAUAUCACUCGCAGCGUGUAUGAUUGUCUGUAUAGGAAGCCAUUUUCGUGACUGCGGCUGUCGAGAUGAGACGUCAUACGGCAGCAGAUUCUACAGACCCUCAGUUUGAAACCAUAGGAGGCAUUCGGAUUCGAAAAAAAAUGUGCACUUUGGCGCAAAUUUAUUUAUUAGCUGUUGUGUUUAGAUUUUUUAAAAAUGUUUUUAAUGAAAAAUUAGCUGUUUGUUUGAUACAUAAAUAAAAUAUAGGUCCUCUAGAUUAGAUCUUUAAAUAUAUGAAAGCAAAAUAAAGAGAGUAAAGAAUAAAAAUACACACAAAACACUCUCCCUCUUAAAGAAAAGAAAGUUACAAAGAAACUGUUGUAAUAUAACGAAGCAACACUUAAAACAUGUUUAAACAGAAAAUAUAAAACCGAAAACGGAAAAAUACAACAGAAGUAUCAAAUAUCAAACAACUUUAUACUCUGGAAAGUGCAUCAGCACAAACAUUGUCUCAACCUUUGUGCUCGAUCACAAGAUUGAAUCCUUGCAAACUCAACCUCCAGCUCAUAAGUCUAUGAUUUUUGUUCUUCAGUUUGUGAAGAAAAUUUAAGGGAGUGUGAUCAGUAAAGACUUCAAUCAAAAAUGUAAUAGUAUCUACAAUGAAGAAAAUAAGUAUGUGAACACCCUGCUUUAUUGCACUUAGAAAUCAUGGAGGGGUCUGAAAUUUUCAUUGUAGGUGCAUGUCCACUGGGAGAGAGAUAAACUAAAAAGAAAAAUCCUGAAAUCACAAUGUAUGAUUUUUUUUUUAACAAUUUAUUUAUGUGAUACAGCUGCAAAUACGUUUUUGAACACCUGUCUAUCAGCUAGAAUUCUGACCCUCAAAGACCUAUUACUGCACAUUUAAAAGUCCACCUCCACUCCAUGUAUUAUCCUGAAUCAGAUGCACCUGUGUGAGGUCAUUAGCUGCAUAAAGAUACCAAUCCACCCCAUACAAUCAGUAAGACUCAAACUUGUAACACGGUCAAGACCAACGAGCUGUCCAAAGACACCAGAGACAAAAUUUUAUAACUUCACACAGCUGGAAAGGCCUACGGAGAAAUUGCCAAGCAGCUUGGUGAUAAAAGGUCCACUGUUGUAGAAAACAUGAGAAAAUGGAAGAAGCGAAACAUGAUGGUCAAUCUCAAUCGGAGUGGAGCCCCAUGCAAGAUAUCACUUUGUGGGGUCUCAAUGAUCCUUAGAAAGGUGAGGAAUCAACCCAGGACUACACGACAGGACUUGGUCAAUGACCUGAAAAGAGCUGGGACCACCAUUGGUGACUGUUGGUAUUACACUGACGUCAUGGUUUGAAAUCAUACAUAGCACGGAACAUUCCCGGGCUUAAUCCAGCACAUGCCAAUGCCCGUAUUAAGUUUGCCAAUGACCAUUUGGAUGAUACAGAGGAACCUUUUGGUCAUAAUUCCACUAACCGUGUUCGGAGGAAGACGAAUUAUGAGUUCCAUCCCAAGAACACCAUCCCUACUGUGAACCAUGGGAGUGAUAGCAUUAUGCUUUGGGGGUGUUUUUUCUGCACAUGGGACAGGACGACUGCACUAUAUUAAGGAGAGGAUGACCGCGACCAUGUAUUACGAGAUUUGGGGGAACAACCUCUUUGCCUCAGUUAGAGCAUUGAAGAUGGGUCGUGGCUGGGUCUUUCAACAUGACAAUGACCCGAAGCACACAGCCAGGAAAACCAAGGAGUGGCUCCGUAAGAAGCAUAUCAAGGUUCUGGCGUAGCCUAGCCAGUCUUCAGACCUAAACCCAAUAGAACAUCUUUGGAGGGAGCUGAAACUCUGUGUUUCUCAGUGACACCCCAGAAACCUUUCUGAUCUAGAGAAGAUCUGUGUGGAAGAGUGGGCCAAAAUCCUUCCUGCAGUUUGUACAAACCUGGUGAACAACUACAGGAAACGUUUGACCUCUUUAAUUGCAAACAAAGGCUACUGUACCAAAUAUUAACAUUGGUUUUCUCAGGUAUUCAAAUACUUAUUUGCAGGCGUAUCACACAAAUAAAUAAUUUUAAAAAAUCAUACAUUGUGAUUUCUGUUUUUUUUCUUUUUAGAUUAUCUCUCUCAUAGUGGACAUGCACCUAUGAAGAAAAUUUCAGACCCCGCCAUUAUUUCUAAGUGGGAGAAGUCGCAAUAUAGCAGGGUGUUCAAGUUCUUGUUUUCUUCUUACUUACGUAUAUAGCUUGACCGACAUGAUCAAUGCAAUCUUCCACUCUCGGCAGAGGGUAAGAGUCAGUUCGUGACAGUGCAUUGACAGUUUUCAUGUUAGCGUAGCAGCUCCAACCACCACCACCACUCUCAGGCACAAGUACACUAGGUGAACUCCACGCACUGUCACUGGGUUCAAUAAUGUCAUUGUCCAGGAUGUACUGCACCUCGUUCCGCAGAAUCUCACUCUUGGCAGGAUUCAUUCGAUAUGGGUGUUGUUUCACAGGCACAGCAUCACCCACAUCUAUAUCAUGACUAACCAGGCAUGUGCGGCCAAGCACAUCUGGAAACAGGUGAGAAAACUCAAAAAGCAAAUGUAACAGUUCAGCUUUCUGGUCAGCUGACAAAGGUGUGUGUCCAUUUCUCAUCAACGUGAGCUCGCACAUCAAAAUUGCAGAACUUUGGUGAAAAUUAUCACUCAAAUCAUCAUCGUCUUUGAUGCUUGUAUCAUCAUAAAAUGUACAAUCAGUAACUGGGGAGGAGAGUGUUGUAGCAAUACAACUGACUUGUUUGGUUUCAACCCUGUCAUAUUUCUCAUUCAUGUUCACAUAACCUUUGUGCUUACGACGGCCAGGAGUAAGGACAAUGUAGUCAGUGUCCCUAACCUCGUUGUUUCUUAGAUAUGGACCCUGAUAUCCAGCUCUAAGUGGUUGGCCAGGAAUGGAAAGUAAGACUAACACUUUUUCAACAGGCAUGAAACUUCUUUUUUUUUUUUUUUACUUUUUGUCAUAAUUUAGUUUCAUUUUGGCUGGAAAAGUUUUUAGGUUUUGUCGGCAAAAAGGAUCCUGACUAGCCUCCUCGAAAAACUGUAUUGGUUACAAACUUCUGUAGCUCAACAUUGUCACUCUGUGUACUAAUAAGUUCGUUUUUUGACAAAAUGUCAUCAGCACUUGACAAAUUUUCAGACUUAUCAGUAAGACCUGAAGAGUUCAAAGAUAAGUCAUCAGCCUCUGAGGCUAAAGAAUGAACCAUAAAUGUAUCUGAUAAAUCACAAAUGGAAUCAUUCGGCAAAGAAGUCUUGGAAGAAAUGACUUUUGCCUUCGAAUGAGUCACUGCACAAGAUGGAAAAAUACCCAGAAAGUCUCACUCCAACUUUUUUGUACUGGGUAAACACUCAGGAGAAACAGUGACAAUAGGAUCAGCGCCAACUUGAGCACCCAUAAAAUAGUUGUCGAUCAACAAAUCAACACCCAGAACUGAAAAGCGUCAAGAACAUUAACCUCAAUGGUGUCAGAAACCAGAUCUGAAGUCAAAUUCUCAAAAUGUGAAAGAGCAAAGAACUGCCACUUAUGCCCUUAAGAAUAAGAUUGGAGUUAGCUGAAAACUCUGCAGAAAAAGGCAAAACAUCCUGCAAAAUUAGAGAUUGAAGACCUUCAGUGUCCCUCAGAAUAGUUACGGACCUUGGGGAAGAGUUAUCUACCAUAAGUGAAACCAAUCCAGUUUAAAUAAAAGGCAUAUACUUCUCCAGAACCUCAGAAUCUGAAAGUUUAUUGUCAGAAACAAAACUCUCCUAAGAACCACCUGGCAAGGAAGACUGAGGUGUGACAGAUAGACAAGCAUUUGUGGAACUAGUGGAUUGAUUUUUGUACUUGACCUUUUUGCAAGCAAAAAUGAAGUGACCAGGCUUCUUAAAAUAAGAACAGACUGCUCUGGACCUAGUUCGCGUUGCGUACAAGUCCUCGAUAGUGGGUAGCGUGGUAUCGACAAUCCAUUCAGCGGUUUUGAUUGUGUAGCACCUCUCAAGUAUAUAACACUUUGACGAGAGGUGACUAACCUGAGUUCUUUCCUCAAUCAAAAUUAGGAACUAAUCAAUUAUCUUAGUGGUAAUUACUCUGAACUUCUAUUACAACUUCACUCUUUACUUGUUCACUUAUUCCCUCUCAAAAGGUCCCUGAAAUAAUAUUUCCCCUUAUGAGUUAAGGUUAUCCUAAUUUAAACAACCAAGGUAUCAAAUAAAAUCCCCACUUUUUUAACUGUCUUGCAGAUAGUCAAAUGAUAGACCUGGUUGUGUUAACAAAAAGUGUGAACAUUUAAUAACAAAACAAAGGUUCGAAAAUCAAACAUGUAUAUCAAACAAACUCAUUCAGAUAAAGUCCACAUAACAGGUACACAAAGCACACAUGCCCUAAGCUAGCAGACUUAAAAUAUGAACAUAUCCGGCAAAACAAAAGAAAUUCAAACCCCAAUCUUUGUUUUAAAUAGCAGGAAUGACGAAAGGCGAGGGUUGUGUCCAAUUGUCCAGCCUCAUCCUAGUCCUGAAGGUCCAAUCCGUUGCGAAGCUUUUCCCUUGUGCUCCAAUGCAGGCCUCGCCAGCUGGUGUUAGCUUGUGCGGUGGCGUCCUAGCAAAGUUCCAUGCAUCCACUUAGCGUCUGUAAUAGCAGCUAACUCCACCACAUUAAGGCGUGAUUUGAGUCGUCCACUGAAAGUGAGUGUUAAUUAGUGAUGCUUCCCAUAACCGUCGAAUACCCGAAUGUAUUGUGCAGCCAUGGUUUUAUCAGUUGUUUUUCACUCACUUGUUUUUCUGGUCAAGACGUCUUGACCGUUUCACUAUCGUGUUCGCAUGCAUACACUCACUCGUUUUUCGCAUAUAAGUUGUGUUUCACUAUCUUGUUCGCAUGCAUACCAAAGACGAACAAUGUUGUGGGAUGUCUUGACAGUUAUGGCUGCGUAAGAUGUUUCUCAGAGCCUGAAGGACACACUUAGGUGUCAAUAGUAAAUCAGGAAACAAUUGUUGCGACGCCAGGUGGGACGGGUAGGCCACCCGUCCUUUCUCUCGCACGCAACUGAAAAUUAUAAUAGAGAGAUGCAGAGUACAAACAGGUAGAGUCUGCUGCGGGUUUCGUACGGACGCCCAGCUAGUUGACAAGCGGACCUCUACCUGGGUGAAUGGCUCUCCACCUUCUCGGCAUAGGUAAGGGGCUCAUAUGAUUGAUUUCACGCAAUGUCAACUGUUUUUUGAGAACUUGCAUUUGGUCGAAAUAAAUAUGCCAGUUAUUGAGGCUAAAUAGCAUUUGGGAACGUUGGUCUUUUGUUGAGUGUCGUCUUUGUCUCCUGAGCGCCGACCAGCACCGAUCCUUUCAAUAAAACAUUUUUGGCGUCGUCGACAGGAUCGUGCAGGCUACGCGCAGGAGAUAAAAACAGGAUGCGUUGUUUUAGAAGGAAAACUAAGGGUGCGCAAGAGGCACCAGAGGAGGAGGUGGUGCCCGGGUGGGAAGGCAUCACUUUCCAACAGAUAGAAGCUGUCUUACGGGAGCGUGGGGGGGCGGCCCGGACCGUGGACAGAAGUGAAUCCCGCUGCCACGCCGCUGGCAUUAUGUGAUACGUUAAGGCGGGUGGAUGUGAAUGCUCGUGCUCCGCUGGGAGGCACGCAGCAGAUGUUGUGGAUGUGUGCGGAAGCUUGGAAAAAUUGCGUGUUGGAGUUGGAUAAGGUUAGAAGCACAGAAAAUCAAAAGGCGCAAGAGGUUAUCCAGCUAGAGGUUAUAGUGAAAGAAUUAAAGGAGCAUUUGGCAAAAAUACAGAGUAUAACGGAAAGAGCUGUAAUGCAUAUCUCCCAAGUGGCGCGAAGAGGGCGAAAGAAGAAACCUCGUAAAAUAGAACAAGGGCAAAUCCGUUCAUUCACCACUGGGCUGUCAGCGCAGUGGAAUCCGGAGAAGUGGAACGGGGAUAUGUGGGGGGAUAAGACCGAACCCGCCACCGCAGACUGGGUUGUAUCCCUCGUUACAGGGGUUGCAGAUACACCCUUUCACGCGACGAAAAGAGCAACGACGCGUGAUACCAGGAUCUGAUGGGGGCGGACGGUCAACCAAUUCUGGACGAAAAUGGCGAGCGAGUGCGAGGGCCGGUCCCACAAGCGCAGCCAGAGCCAGAAUUGUUCAUGACGAGAGAAGAUUAUACACAGGAUAAAGCAGAAUAGGAAAUGAAUGAACGUUCACUUUUGCACAUAAUAGUGCUUACAACAAUACUCUUAUCGUGCGUGUAUGUGUUUGUACGCGUGUGUGCGCGCGCGGGUGUUGCCUUUCUACAAGUGUUUCAAUAGACUUAACGUUACAAAGAUCUUUGUUUACCGAAAAAGCUAUCCAAAUACUAUAUUGUAUGCCUGUCAUAUCUUCUGAAUAAUGUGCACUAUGUUUGCAUGUACAGUUUUACAAAGGAUGCACCGGUUCCUUUUUGUUAACUACGAGUGUGUCUUUUGAAGUAUAUGAUAUGGAAAUUUAUUGGGAUAAAUCAGGUCAAACAGUAACAGCGUUAAUAGAUACCGGGGCGGAGGCCUCAAUAAUUUAUGGAACUCCAGAGAAAAUGAAAGGACCCCUAGUACCAUUAACAGGACUAGGAGGAAAAGUGAUUUAUGGAAAACAUGUAAACUUACCUUUGAAAAUAGGAAAUAUGCCUAUAAAAACAUAUAUGGUGAUUAUAACCCCUAUCCCAAAGUGGAUAGUGGGCAUGGACAUAUUAGCCAGAAUCACACUUUAUUUGACAGCCGGGAGAUUUGAAUUCGGAGUAAAUCCACUGAAAAUACAUGCAAUAUUGGUGGGUAAAGUAAAAAUGCCACCUUUUCCGAUACCAAAAGCUACACAGGUAGUUAGUCAAAAGCAAUACCGGAUACCUGGAGGACAGGAAGAAAUUUCGGCGACCAUUAAAGAAUAUUUAGAAGCUGGUGUAUUGAAAACAGUGACGACAAACUGGAACAAUCCGUUGUGGCCAGUCAGGAAAUCAGAUAACUCUGGGAGGAUGACAGUAGACUACAGAGGAUUGAAUAAACACACACCUGUAUUGACUUCCACGAUACCCGACGCAGUGACAGUUAUAGAACGAGUGCAACAUCAUCCCGGAACGUGGUAUGGGGUCAUAGAUUUGGCUAACGCAUUUUUCACUAUUCCUAUUCCUGAGGAUAGGAUGAAUCAAUUUGCAUUUACCUGGGAAGGGCGCCACUACACUUUUUCCAGACUACCAUAGGGUUAUUUACAUAGUCCCACAAUCUGCCACCGAGUGGUAGCAGAGCACCUGGAAAAGCUAAAAGUUCCUAAGGAAAUAAUGAUACUUUAGUUUGGGAGAAGAACAACAGCGAUCAUUUGAUAUGGCGAAGGAAGCGAUACAGCAAGCAGUGUCACUGGGAAAAAUGAAAUCGGGACCGGUAGAAUUGCAGGUGUCGGCGUUAAAUGAAUACGCUAACUGGAGUUUGUGGCAAAAGCAAGAUAGGAUUCGUAAACCCUUGGGAUUCUGGUCGAGAAAGCUCCCAGAAGCAGGCCUAAGGUACACACCUUUUGAAAAGCAGCUAUUAGCAUGCUAUUGGGCAUUGGUUGAAACUGAGGCUCAAACGGUGGGCCAUGAGGUGUUAAUGAGAACACAUAUACCGAUUUUGACAUGGGUUAAAGGUAACCCGACGACACAUAGAAUAGGAACCGCACAGGAAGCUAGUAUUAUCAAAUGGAAAUGGUAUGUCUCUGAGCGAAUUAAAAUAGGGGGAAAAUGAGUCUAAAGAGUGGGCAAAGACUCACCAUGUAGAAUGGAUCGAUCACAUUCACUAUUAUCCGCAGGCUGCUGGGUUAAUAGAGCGAAUGAAUGGAAUUCUUAAGGAAACAUUGAAAAAGCUAUCUCGAAACAAAACAAGCCGGAGUAAUUGAUGCGGACUAUCAAGGAGAAAUUGGACCGGUAUGGAAAUUAUUAGCAGAACAGCCCCUUACAUUGGAAAGAGGGGACAAAAUUGCUCAAUUGAUAGUGAAGCCUUGCCUUGUAACCAAGGUAAAAGAAAUACCUAAACCUGUGGUGAUAACUACCAGAGGGGAGGGAGGAUUUGGCUCCACUGAUUUGGCAGGGGCAAAAGUUUGAGUAAAACAGCCAGACGGUCCUCCCCGAGCAGGAGAAAUUAUAGCUCAAGGGCAAGAUGCUACUGUGAGCGUCUUAUAUCCUGGAGAGGAAAAAUGGGUAAAUGUACCGGUGUCAAAAUGUUAUACAAGAGAGAACUAAUCACAUGUUUGUAGUAUGCACUAUUUGUCGUAAUACAGAUGCCGUGGUGGUAUUUGCUGAUUGGAAGGCCAUCAUCGGAGAGGCGCCAUGGCCGGACCAGGGAAGACCGAGGGCCCAAGAGGUGGCAGUGUCCUCUGCUGGGUCACGUGUAUCCUUGUCCUUGGUGCCAUGGUCCAACUCUGCUGCGCAAUGACGGAGUGUGACAAAUUGGAGCAGGUCCAGCGGCUCCACAUAAGAUGGAAAAGCAGUACCCAGGACCAUACUCAAGGAGACUACACCUGUCCAGCUUACCGAGAUUGCGGCGUGGUAAACAUCACCAGCAAUUGUCAGAUGUGGAGGUGCAAAAGGUGCCUUGGAGAAAAGGACAUCCCGGUGGUGGAACAAGGAUGCAACUUAACCGUCACUUCAGUUGUCCCCAUGUGCCACUACAACAGGACGACCAAGACCUGCAAUGAGCACAACUGGACGAGGUGGACAAUUACCGUAAAAGAAACCCUGUUUUUUUUUUUUUUUUUAACAGCACUGAAAUCUCGGGACGGAACACAUUUUUGUAUAUAAUAUGGGUGUUACCUGGGAAACCUAAUGCUACAAGAACACACAUAGCACCAGUAUUAGAUACCUGUACAAACAUGGCACAAGCCAGGGUUAAAACCAGAGUGUACUGGGAAAUAAAAUUCCCCGAUAUACCACACUGUACACGAAGACAAGAGCUUGGUAUGAUACUUAGGACUUAGGAGGAAUGGGAACACUGUUUGGUGUAGCUAAUGCUGCAGAUAAUGAAGUAACCAGAACAAUGUUAUCUAACACAGGGCAAUAUGCAUCAGAGGCUAUACAUCAGGUAGGGGUAUGGCUUCCAAAAGCUACGAUAGGGCAAUUGGAAAACACAGGUGUUUGGAAAAAGGCAUUUACGUGGGAGUUAAAAUUAUGGAAUGAAACGUAUGAUGCGUGAAAGAAUCUUUCACAUAUAGGUAAUUGGACAACCUGUGCAUUGCAAAUGAUACAUGCGGAAGCUCAAAAAGAGCGAUUCCAGAGAAUAAUGACAACGGGAAAUUAUUACGAAUGGAGACGGAUUUGGAAUAUUAGUAGCAAACUUUGGUUACAGUUACAUUCGGAGCGAACAAAAUGCAACAGUACAUAUUGUGCUGGGUAUUGGACUCAGUACAAUGUGUCUACUGUUAAAACGAUGUGUAAGUAUCAAGUAUUACCGGUGAUUACUACCACAGGAUUUUGGUUUCUACAUCUGGAUGGAGAGUGGAUGGAUGUGGGAACAAAUACGACUUAUGAGAUGAAAAUGUGUGACGAAACAGACAGAGGAAUGGCGUGUACAUUACAACAGGGACACAGCAAUCCAUGUUUAACCGACUCAGAGGCUGUACUUUGUGAUUGGACUAGAGAGCCACGAAGGGAGAUGUUGUGGCAAAUCGGACCACAUGCUCUAUGUGUGGCAACAAUGCAAAAUAAUUCACAAGUACCAUCGGUUCCUUUCGUUGGUUGCUUAUAUAAUGUGCACCUAUGGCAUUGGGGAAACGUAUCGUUUGACGAAUUACUCUGUGUCUAAUCGGCUGACACAAGUACAAUAGGAUGUACUAAAGAAUCCCUGGAACUUCUCACUGGAGCGUUUCAAAUGCGCAUUGGAACAAUCCACUGAAGUUCAGAAAAUUAUACAGUCACAUACAUCUCACAUCUCCAAGCUCAUGGUGUCCACAUUAGUAGCCAGCGGACGGCUACAACAUGCUGCUAAAAUAGUACAACAGUCCUCAGCCCAUCACUGGUGGGACAUCUUUUCAGGGAUGUCAGUCACUGCUAGGAGGACUUUGGAGCCCCCUCUGAUUCUGUUGGUUAUUGUCAUAGUAUUGCUAUCACUAUGUAAUCUGCUAACGUGUAUCUACGUAAGACGUAUCCGAGCUGAAGUGGAGUGGGUGAUUAUGCAACGCAUGAGAUGAUUGUACGCCUUGAGAAAAGUAAUGGACACUUCGGUGUCGAGAACUACACUUAAGUUGGUGCCUCACCCCACUCAUAUAUACAUUUAUGCUAGAUGGCAAGGAUGUUUAUCACAUCAAUAUAUUCACAGAAACCUAACGUUGCAGGAAUUAUGGUCCAUGUUCUUUCAUGACAUCAUGAAUCACACUGGAAAUGGAAUAGUGUUACCAUCGACGUUUGAUGGGUAUAUCAACUAAUAUGUGAAGCCUCAAGAGUGGAAUGAAAGGAGUGUUAAUUAGUGAUGCUUCCCAUAACCGUCAAAUACCCGAAUGUAUUGUGCAACCAUGGUUAUAUCAGUUGUUUUUCACUCACCUGUUUUUCACUCACUUGUUUUUCUGGUCAAGACGUCUUGACCGUUUCACUAUCGUGUUCGCAUGCAUACACUCACUUGUUUUUCGCAUAUAAGUUGUGUUUCACUAUCUUGUUCACAUGCAUACCAAAGACGAACAUUGUUGUGGGAUGUCUUGACAGUUAUGGCUGCGUAAGAUGUUUCUCAGAGCCUGAAGGACACACUUAGGUGUCAAUAGUAAAUCAGGAAACAAUUGUUGCGACGCCAGGUGGGACGGGUAGGCCACCCGUCCUUUCUCUCGCACGCAACUGAAAAUUAUAAUAGAGAGAUGCAGAGUACAAACAGGUAGAGUCUGCUGCGGGUUUCGUACGGACGCCCAGCUGGUUGACAAGCGGACCUCUACCUGGGUGAAUGGCUCUCCACCUUCUCGGCAUAGCUAAGGGGCUCAUAUGAUUGAUUUCACGCAAUGUCAACUGUGUUUUGAGAACUUGCAUUUGGUCGAAAUAAAUAUGCCAGUUAUUGAGGCUAAAUAGCA